AGUGAACGCUGGCGGUAGGCCUAACACAUGCAAGUCGAACGGCAGCACAGUAAGAGCUUGCUCUUACGGGUGGCGAGUGGCGGACGGGUGAGGAAUACAUCGGAAUCUACUUUUUCGUGGGGGAUAACGUAGGGAAACUUACGCUAAUACCGCAUACGACCUACGGGUGAAAGCAGGGGAUCUUCGGACCUUGCGCGAUUGAAUGAGCCGAUGUCGGAUUAGCUAGUUGGCGGGGUAAAGGCCCACCAAGGCGACGAUGGGUAGCUGGUCUGAGAGGAUGACCGGCCACAUUGGGAAUGAGCAAAUGCACAGACUACUACGGGAGGCAGCAGUGGGGCAUAUUGCAGAAUGGGCGGAAGCCUGAGGGAGAAACGACGCGUGCGGGAUGACGGCCUUCGGGUUGGAACCCGCUGUCGCCGGUGACGAAGCGUGCGGGACGGUAAUGGGUAAAGAAGCAGCGCCUAACUACGUG
rnacentral:rRNA from 1 species